GAUCCAUAUUGUAUAGGGUAGACGGAUGUGUUAAUGAGGACAGGCGUAUAAUUCUAUAUUCUCAGCAUAUACCUGUAAGUGGUCGCUGAAGCCUAAAUCGAAUGCAUUUGGUCUUUAAAUGCAAGAAUUAGCCAGUGCACAGGGUGCUACAGUGUGUAACCUCAACAUAUUUCUGUGCAGUGAGCAGACAAACUCCAAGACAGUAGGUUAAGUUAGAUUACUUUAGUUAAUUGAUCAAUGUGUUAAGUGGCUAAUUAAGCACAAUCUAGGCUUCUUGAGUGCAGCUCCAGGGUUGCCACCAUCCCUAUACGCAUUGAUUUUUUGGAGUUAUAAAUGGCCUUUUGGAAAUUGAUGGCCAUGUUGAGUUCAGAGUUGCCAUAGACAUGCAUUUAGAGGGUGGUUAAUGAUGAAUGCAAUGUACAGUUGUCCAAGGAAGACCUACCAUGGGAACACAGAGGGGAAAAAAGGAACUUUGAGGAAAGAAGUUUUGAUUUAAUCUGUUUGAAAUUACAGAACUAUAAUUACAGUUUGCCGAGUGUUGUUUUAUUUUUCAGUCUUCUGCAUAAAAAUGCAACAUCAAUACAAAAAAUAUGGCAUGGAUUGACUGCAUGGGUGCUUUUCAGACAAAGGGUAAAGACAGCAUAUUUUAUCACGAAGAUGAAUUUCUACAAUAAGAUGGCUGUCAAGGAGAGACCUGGAGGAAGUUGCAGAGCUCCAGCGGAGAGAGAGAGAACGGAUCACACUGGAAAAACAGGAAAAAGAGAAAAACAUCCAGGCUCAGAGACUCCACUUCCUCCUAAGCACUAAACAAUGUCUAGGUGUUUUCAAUUCACCGUUCAGAGCAGAACCUGAUGAGACGGAGCUGAGACUGAGAAAAGUGAGACCGCUUCUAGUGCGAUCGGCUCCUAAAGAGAGGAAGAACCCCAAUAUAACCCCUGAUCUCAAUAACCUGAUGCCAAACAGGGAGCGUCUACCACCCAUUCACAAAAAGCCACAGGUGAGACACUGCCCAAGAUUUCCUUAAAAUAAUAGUUAAUGGAAAAAAAAGUAAUCUUUUACUUAUCCUCAUGUUAUUCCAAAAAUGUAUAUCACUCUUUCUUUAGUGGAACACAAGAGUACUUUCAAGCUUCAGAAGUGAUAAAAAAAAUCAUCAAAAAAGCAGUCCAUAU